rnacentral:tRNA from 1 species
GACUCCGUAGCUCAGUUGGUAGAGCAACAGACUCUUAAUCUGUGGGCCCUGGGUUCGAACCCCAGCGGGGUCA